CAAUCGAACCCGGAGAUAGCUGGUUCUCCUCGAAAUAGCUUUAGGGCUAGCCUCGCAUUAGUUUACCGGAGGUAGAGCACUGAAUGGUCUAGGGGGCCUCACCGCCUACCGAAACCUAUCAAACUGCGAAUGCCGGAUAAAUGAUGUGCGGGAGUCAGGCCGCGAGAGAUAAGUUCCGCGGUCAAAAGGGGAACACCCCAGAUCGUCUGCUAAGGUCCCCAAGUACGCGUUAAGUGGGAAAGGAUGUUGGAUUGCACAGACAACCAGGAUGUUGGCUUAGAAGCAGCCACACAUUCAAAGAGUGCGUAAUAGCUCACUGGUCGAGUGAUCCAGCGCCGAAAAUGUAACGGGGCUAAAACGCGACACCGAAGCAGCGGGAUGCGUAAGCAUCGGUAGAGGAGCAUUGUGUGAGGGUUGAAGCCAGAGCGGGAGCACUGGUGGACUUCACAGAAGAGAGAAUGCCGGUAUGAGUAGCGAGACCCAUGCGAGAAACAUGGGCGUCGAAGGCCCAAGGUUUCCUGGGGAAGGUUCAUCCACCCAGGGUAAGUCGGGACCUAAGCCGAGGACUGAGGUCGUAGGCGAUGGACAGCAGGUAGAGAUUCCUGCACCACUUAUACUUGUUUGACGAAGCAGUGACACAGAAGGAUAGGACGAGCGCGGUGAUGGUCAACCGCGUAGGCGGCACGAGGCCGGGAAGCAGUGAAGUACACUUCCCGCAAAGGCUGAGUGUUGACAGGACCGAAAAGAAGUAGGGAAGCGUCCGAGUUCACGCUGGCGAGAAAAGCUGCUAAGGAGAGUGUGAGUGCCCGUACCGGAAACCGACGCAGGUGGGCGAGGAGAGAAUCCUGAGACGGACGGGAGAACUCUUGUUAAGGAACUCGGCAAAAUGACCCCGUAACUUCGGGAGAAGGGGUGCCUCGAAAGAGGCCGCAGAGAAUAGUCACAAGCGACUGUUUAGCAAAAACACAGGUAUCUGCGAAAGCGAGAGCUGACGUAUAGGUGCUGACACCUGCCCGGUGCUGGAAGGUUAAGGGAACAUGUUAGAGCAAUCGAAGCAUCGAACCGAAGCCCCAGUAAACGGCGGCCGUAACUAUAACGGUCCUAAGGUAGCGAAAUUCCUUGUCGGGUAAGUUCCGACCCGCACGAAUGGCGUAACGACUUGUGAGCUGUCUCAACAGGAGGCCCGGUGAAAUUGAAGUAUGUGUGAAGAUGCACAUUACCCGCGACUGGACGGAAAGACCCCGUAGAGCUUUACUGUAACCUGACAUUGGAUCUUGAUAACGGAUGCACAGGAUAGGUGGGACGCUGGGAGACGAGGACUUUGGUUUUCGUGGAGCGGCCGUUGGGAUACCACUCUUCUGUUAUUGAGAUUCUAACCUCAAGCCGUGAGCCGGAUGAGAGACAGUGUCAGGCGGACAGUUUGACUGGGGCGGUCGCCUCCGAAAGAGUAACGGAGGCGCCCAAAGGUACCCUCAGAAUGGAUGGAAACCAUUCGAAGAGAGCAAAGUCAGAAGGGUGCUUGACUGCGAGACCAACAAGUCGAGCAGGUACGAAAGUAGGGCUUAGUGAUCCGGCGGUAAGAGAGUGGAAUUGCCGUCGCUCAACGGAUAAAAGCUACCUCGGGGAUAACAGGCUGAUCUCCCCCAAGAGUUCACAUCGACGGGGAGGUUUGGCAC
rnacentral:rRNA from 1 species